UUUCUUCACAGGGCUGAAAGCCUCUGACAUUAAGAGGAGCAGGAGGUGGAUUUCUUGGACAGCUCAGCGUCAAGACAGAGCUGCCAGCGCAGGAGGCAUGGGCUUCAUCCCUGGCUGGGGAAGACCCUGAAUGCUGUGUGGCGGUCUCCCCACCAAAGAGAGAGGGGCAGGAGGCAGGUGGGGACCGUGAAGGUAAGGGAUGGGGAGAGAGGGGCAGGAGACAGGAGACCCUGAAGGUAAGGGAGGGGAGAGAGGGGCAGGAGGCAGGAGACCCUGAAGGUAAGGGGCGGGGAGAGAGGGGCAGGAGGCAGGAGACCCUGAAGGUAAGGGACGGGGAGAGAGGGGCAGGAGACAGGAGGAGACCCUGAAGGUAAGGGAGGGCAGAGAGGGGCAGGAGGCAGGAGACCCUGAAGGUAAGGGAGGGGAGAGAGGGGCAGGAGGCAGGCGGGGGCCCUGAAGGUAAGGGAGGGGAGAGAGGGGUAGGAGGCAGGAGACCCUGAAGGUAAGGGAGGGGAGAGAUCUCUGAGGACUUCAGGAGGCAGAGGGAGUGGGGUGAGUAAACGGAGCCUGGGGCAAGUCAGAGGAGUCUGGAGAACCUGCAGUCUAGACCUUAUUGCUCAACUCUGCCUCCCAAGGGCAAUUAAACGUGACCGC
ensembl:lncRNA